CUAUUAAACAAGAUAAGAGUUUUUGGUGAAUGCCUUGGGUCUGGAAGUCGAUGAAGGACGUGAUUACCUGCGAUAAGCCUCGGUUAGUUGGAAAUAAACUGUGAUCCGGGGAUUUCCGAAUGGGGAAACCUAAUUGAGCUAAUCCUCAAUUAUCAUAUCGAUGAAUAAAUAGUCGAAUGAAGAGACACGCUGUGAAUUGAAACAUCUCAGUAGCAGCAGGAAGAGAAAAUAAAGAAUGAUUCCCUAAGUAGUGGCGAGCGAAAGGGGAAAAGCCCAAACCAACAUUUGUUGUUGGGGUUGUAGGACUACAUUUCAGAGUUACAAAAUUUGCAUAUAGCAGAAUAAGUUGGAAUGCUUAAACAAAGAGGGUGAAAUUCCCGUAAGCGAAAUAUGAAAAUCUCUUUGUAGUAUCCUGAGUAGGGCGGGGCACGUGAAACCCUGUCUGAAUCUGCCGGGACCACCCGGUAAGGCUAAAUACUAACCAGACACCGAUAGUGAACUAGUA
rnacentral:rRNA from 2 species